AUCGCAGAUGUGCAGCUCUGUGUAUUUUCUGACUCAGUUUCCUCUCAGCCAGCCAAUUUAAACACUGAACCAUUUCCUCUGCCAGCGUCACCGGAGUCCAAUGUUGCAUUACACUACAGCACUUCAUCGCUGCACUGUGGUCUGUCAGAGGAAGAAGGGCGCAUUGUCCGGGAGCUGUAGGAUUCCCAUUGCAGUUACACCUCCUGGAAGGAAACCAGGAGAAAUGCCUUGCAAGCCGAACCUCAGCACAGGAAGUCCCUGGUGGCUUUAUCCUAUUGAAGACCUGAAUGCUAUCAAUCCCUCUCAGCCACUUGCCGACACAAGAGCAGCAGAGCAGGCUAGACUUCAAAUGACCACAUCAUCUGCAGAGGCCCUAAAGGGUUAAUAGUGACUUACAGUAGUAUUCCUUGAGACAAAACAAGGCAUUUGGAUUUUUUUUUUUUUUUGCUAAAAAGUUGAGAAAAAUCUUUUGAUAAGAAACUCCACGUGAAACACAGAGAUAUCUCAUUUCCAGAGGUGUUCUGACGUGGCUGAACUGUACCUUCAGCAAAUUAUUUACCUCUUAAUUUGUUAAAACAUAUGGGCUUAGAGGUAACUUUGCCCAUGAGGCGUACAUCUAUAUUAUAUGCUUGUUUGGUUUGACUUCAUUUUCCUUGGAGACCUGAACAAAUGGUUUCCGCAUUUCAGAAGUUGUUUUUUUUUUUCCUCCUCUCACGUGUUCACAGCAGCAGCGUUACAUAUGUAUUUUGUUUCUUUUGCCUGCAAUGAAAGAGGAGCGUGCUCAUUUGCAGUACAGUGGGCAAAGUGGGGCAAUGUUUCAGGAUGAGGAAAGUCACAUAUCUCUACAUCUGCGAGGAGCACAGUCAGAAUGGAUGUUUGGCCCCUUUGCCAAUCUCUACCAACAGCCACUUCCCCACAGAGCACCCAGCGUGUCCCUGCUCACCAUCUUGUUCCCCAGCACAAGAAAAGAGAGGAACCAACAAACUCCACACAAAGUCCUUGUUGAUAUUUCAGUGCUUCAUCACAAAAAUCUCUUGCCAAACACUUGGAAGAGUAUUUGCCCCCCCCCCUCCCCCCCCCAGCCAAGUUAAAAUGCAAGCCCACUUGCAAAGCAUUAGUGUGAGGUAAUCGAAAUAGCACCUUCCACAAAGACCAAAAGAAAGUGGAGGAGAUCUUCUGUAUCAACACCCAUCAUUCCUAAGAAAGUCAUGGACUUCCUGCUGCAUGGCUCCACCAGCACACCAGCAUCAACUGCAUGUUUAGUUUUUGCAUCUCUCAGGCCUGUCCUUGCUAUCAAGGCUCUGGUAGCACAUGUAUUCCCAUGAUCCUGUCUCGUGGACAACGUCUCCAUGCGCAAAGCUCCAAGGUGGCAUUCACACAACUUCGCCUCAUUCUCUUAACUUCUUUUGCUACAAUACAGAGAAAUGGGAACAAAACAUUAUUUCUUUAAAAUAGCAGCAUGAUAAUUGAUGCUCUCAAGAGGGGAAAAAGGAAGAAACCCACCAGGGACAGGUUAGAGGCUCGAAGGCAUCUUCUCCUUUCUGCUUUUGGGUUUGGUGUUUGGUUUUGUUUUUUAUUUUCUAUGAGUGAAAUCAACACCUCAAAGUGCUUUUGGUUUUCCAUUUGUUUAUUCCAGCCAUAAAUAUUUUAUCACUUAAAAAGGGAAGCAAUGUUUGUUCCUAAUUGUUUUUGAUUAAAUAUGCUAAUUACAUUUUGGAAUAUUAAUGACACAUACGGUACUAAAUGUUUUAAUAAUGCAAUGAAAUAAGCCAGCAAAUAUAACUACAAAUUAACCUGAAAUUGCUACAUGGUUUUCAUAAUUUUGCACUAUAACGCUGCAAAUCUGGAGGAAAAUAUCCAUGACAAACCAGUAUUUCUUGUUUGCUAUCUAGAGUUCAACUAAACAAAAAAGUGAAUCAAACAAAACCCAUAGAUGAACGAGAUGCUACUUCACUUUGGGAUCACUUUUCUUCACUGCAAGACAAGGGUAGCAGAAAUAAAACCCAGCUGAAAGAAAGCUUCUCACCAGCGUGUGCUGACCAUGGGAUGGGUCUUAAAACUACUCCCAUGUGCAUAAGUCUGAAGAAAUCCUUAAGCUUGACUGUGGUGAGCAUAGCAAUGGAAGCAGCUGCCAUGCUCUGCAGCCACUCAAGUUACUAUCAGACAGGAAACUUCAGAGCUUUGCCACUGAGCAUUACUGCUACAUUUCUCUCUUAGCUUAGGCUGGGUGGUUAAUUCAUUUUUUUUUUGCUCUUGCUCUCUGCUCAGGGAAAGAGAUUAUCUCUUUGUUUAGGUGCUUCUGGAUAGUAGGCACCUCUGCUUUUCAGCAGCACUCCAGAAGGGAAAUGCCUUUUCAAUACAGGCUGCUAAUGCGUUCACAGGCUGAAAUCAAGCUCCCUACCUACGGCAGGCUCCCCAAUUCCCAGGACAAUCAAGCCGACACAAUUAAAUUCUUCCUCUUCUGUGACAGAACUAUACGCAGUGGUUAGUAUUACAUUACAUUGAAAAUAAUUAAUAUUGUGGAGGCUUUUUUGCAUGUUUGUGUGUUAAAGACUUGACCUUUUAAUUUGUUUUUCCCUCAGAAAUGUUCUGCAAUCUAAUGAUUUAUAUAGAUUGUCCAAAGUUGCCAGGUAGUCUGUCCCAGCUCUCUAGAAUAACUCUGAUGAUAUUUACCCACACUCAGUGUCAGGGAACUGCUUUUGCUUGCUGUGCUAGGGAAAGCAUUCACAGGGGCCUACAUCUGCCAGGUCUGGUACAAAAGGACAGUGGAAUCAGCACACCCAUUCAAUCAGCCUGAUAAGUCACUAACUGAUAAGCAAUUGCUAGAUAAAUUAUCAGCUACUUAUACA
ensembl:lncRNA